rnacentral:hammerhead_ribozyme from 1 species
AUCUAGCUGACGAGUUCCAAAUAGGACGAAACGCGCCUUUUCCUGGAU